AUGCACGGUUCCUAAGGAUCUGUGCUGUGGUCAGUAGGAUAGAUUCUCCAACUACGUGCUAAAGUAACGGGGAGACUUUGACUGUCCAGGCUAUCUGGUGUCUGUGACAGCCCCUCGACUGCCCUACAGGU
ensembl:snoRNA SNORA44 Small nucleolar RNA SNORA44